AGUGAACGCUGGCGGUAGGCCUAACACAUGCAAGUCGAACGGCAGCACAGAGGAGCUUGCUCCUUGGGUGGCGAGUGGCGGACGGGUGAGGAAUACAUCGGAAUCUACUCUGUCGUGGGGGAUAACGUAGGGAAACUUACGCUAAUACCGCAUACGACCUACGGGUGAAAGCAGGGGACCUUCGGGCCUUGCGCGAUUGAAUGAGCCGAUGUCGGAUUAGCUAGUUGGCGGGGUAAAGGCCCGCCAAGGCGACGAUCCGUAGCUUGUCUGAGAGGAUGAUCAGCCACACUGGAACUGAGACACGGUCCAGACUCCUACGGGAGGCAGCAGGGGGGAAUAUUGGACAAUGGGCGCAAGCCUGAUCCAGCCAUACCGCGUGGGUGAAGAGGGCCUUCGGGUUGUAAAGCCCUUUUGUUGGGAAAGAAAUCCAGCUGGCUAAUACCCGGUUGGGAUGACGGUGCCCAAAGAAUAAGCACCGGCUAACUUCGUGCCAGCCGCCGCAGUAA
rnacentral:rRNA from 1 species